CCAAUCUAAUGAUGUUUUACCUACAUUGUCUGAUUGCCACUGAAGAUAAUAAUAAGCACUGAAGAUUGG